rnacentral:rRNA from 1 species
UAAGGAAUAUUGGUCAAUGGACGCAAGUCUGAACCAGCCAUGCCGCGUGAAGGAUGAAGGUCCUCUGGAUUGUAAACUUCUUUUAUCUGGGACGAAAACGGGAUUUUUAUCUCAAUUGACGGUACCAGAGGAAUAAGCACCGGCUAACUCCGUGCCAGCAGCCGCGGUAAUACGGAGGGUGCGAGCGUUAUCCGGAUUUACUGGGUUUAAAGGGUGCGUAGGUGGGCUUAUAAGUCAGUGUUGAAAUCUCCGAGCUUAACUUGGAAACUGCCGUUGAUACUAUAGGUCUUGAAUUAUCUGGAGGUAAGCGGAAUAUGUCAUGUAGCGGUGAAAUGCUUAGAUAUGACAUAGAACACCAAUUGCGAAGGCAGCUUACUACAUAUAAAUUGACGCUGAGGCACGAAAGCGUG